AAUAAAGUGGCUGAGAAUAUAUAGGCGGUAGAUUGUAAAUCUAUAAACGAAUUUUUAAUUCCUUUAUUA
rnacentral:tRNA from 1 species